GGGCGUGUGGCACAGUUGGUAGCGAAUUCGCUUAGCAUGCGAGAGGUCUCCGGCUUGAUUCCGGACUCGUUCA
rnacentral:tRNA from 1 species